rnacentral:misc_RNA from 1 species
GAUGAAGAACGUAGCGAAAUGCGAUAAGUAAUGCGAAUUGCAGAUUUCAGUGAGUCAUCGAAUCUUUGAACGCACAUUGCGCCCGCCAGUAUUCUGGCGGGCAUGCCUGUUCGAGCGUCAUUUCAACCAUCAAGCCCCCGGGCUUGCGUUGGGGCCCUGCGGCUGCCGCAGGCCCCGAAAAGCAGUGGCGGGCUCGCUGUCACACCGAGCGCAGUAGCGAUUCUCGCUCCGGGCGUCGGCGGCGGGCACCGGCCGUAAAACCCCCCCACAUCCACAAGGUUGACCUCGGAUCAGGUAGGAAUACCCGCUGAACUUAAGCAUAUCAAUAAGCGGAGGA